UUAAAAAUCCUAAAUAUAGAGUGUUCUACAAAAAGCACAUGUUCCCCCACCCCUUCUGUUAAAGGGGGCCUCUGGCAAAUUCCAGUGAGAUAAUAACUUAGUUUUUAUCAUCUCUGAUCUGGGUUUUAAGAAUUAUUUUUUAUUAUAAGGGAAUAGUUAGUGAUGAAUAUUCAUUCUCCUGGGUACUUACUCCAGGAGGGGGUGUCAUGCAGGACAAAAGACUCACCAGAGGGCUGAGAACAGAACUCCAGUCUGACCCAUGACCAUGGAGAUCAUGAAGCCUGAAGGCUCAGAGAUAAUAUCCAGGACAAAACAAAGCUAUCCCUCAGAAGUUCUUUGGUAUCGUGUAGACCUGGCGCACACUGGCUCUUCAGGAAUUGUGAAGAUGAGACAGCUUCAUGUGAGUGGCCGGCUAGAAGGUGGGAAUAAGUCGUCUUUGAGCUGUGGUAAGCAGGCUGGUGCCAUGGGAACAGAGCCUGGCGUCUCAAUUGCCCACAUGAUAAGAAACCCUGCCGCUGACUUUGUCAUUGUUCCUUUGCAAUCAGUGACGGCUUUCCAAAAAAAAAAAAAAAAAAAUGGGGGAGAAACUGCAGGGAUUUCCUAGGGUCUGAAUAGGCAGAGGUGGAGGAUGUGGGGUCAGAUGGUCACACUCAGAGCUUUGCUCUGCUCCGUUCAGGCGAACAGAGGGCAUAGACACCCGGAAGCCCUUUCACAGUGUAGACACCUAAGCGGUUGGUCAAUCACACCCAGACCCCCCACCCCACUGUCCCGCCACACACAUGACUCAUCUUGACCUUUGCUCUAUUAUUGAACGGAUUCCUUGCCAAACUGGGGUUUUCAUAAAUGAUUUCCAGGAAAUGGGAAGGUUGAAAUCAAGUUGAACUCGUGCGGUUUUGCUCUUUAACUUGAGCUUCCUCUGUGAUUCCUGGAUGGUCUCACAGCUCUGCCUUCCAUAACCACUGCGGGUUGCUUGUUUUGACUCCAGGAAGCUCCGAGGUAAUCUA
rnacentral:lncRNA from 1 species